rnacentral:rRNA from 1 species
AUGCAAAUCUCUUAAAGCUUCUCUCAGUUCGGAUUGCAGGCUGCAACUCGCCUGCAUGAAGCCGGAAUCGCUAGUAAUCGCGGAUCAGCACGCCGCGGUGAAUACGUUCCCGGGCCUUGUACACACCGCCCGUCACACCACGAGAGUUUGUAACACCCGAAGUCGGUGAGGUAACCUUUUUGGAGCCAGCCGCCUAAGGUGGGAUAGAUGAUUGGGGUGAAGUCGUAACAAGGUAGCCGUAUCGGAAGGUGCGGCUGGAUCACCUCCUUU